rnacentral:rRNA from 1 species
GAUAAACGCUGGCGGCGUGCCUAACACAUGCAAGUCGAACGCCCUGUUUGUCGCAAGAGAAGCAGGGAGUGGCGGACGGGUGAGUAACACAUGGGUGACCUACCCCGCAGUGAGGGAUACCGGCGAGAAAUCGCCGACAAGCCCGCAUGGGGUCUCUUUGGUCAAGCGAAGAGAGCAAAGUUUCGCAAGAGACGCUGCGGGAUGGGCCUGUGGCCGAUUAGCUGGUUGGGGGGUAAGAGCCUCCCAAGGCGACGAUCGGUAGCUGGUCUG